AUGAAACACUCCUACGGGAGGCAGCAGUGGGGAAUUUUGGACAAUGGGAGCAACCCUGAUCCAGCAAUGCCGCGUGAGUGAAGAAGGCCUUCGGGUUGUAAAGCUCUUUUGUCAGGGAAGAAACGGUAGUAGCUAAUAUCUAUUACUAAUGACGGUACCUGAAGAAUAAGCACCGGCUAACUUCGUGCCAGCAGCCGCGGUAAUACGAAGGGUGCAAGCGUUACUCGGAAUUACUGGGCGUAAAGCGUGCGUAGGUGGUUUGUUAAGUCUGAUGUGAAAGCCCUGGGCUCAACCUGGGAAUUGCAUUGGAUACUGGCAGGCUAGAGUGCGGUAGAGGGUAGUGGAAUUCCCGGUGUAGCAGUGAAAUGCGUAGAGAUCGGGAGGAACAUCCGUGGCGAAGGCGACUACCUGGACCAGCACUGACACUGAGGCACGAAAGCGUGGGGAGCAAACAGGAUUAGAAACCCUAGUAGUCCGAAGUUC
rnacentral:rRNA from 1 species